rnacentral:rRNA from 1 species
CCUACGGGAGGCAGCAGUCGAGAAUCAUUCACAAUGGGGGAAACCCUGAUGGUGCGACGCCGCGUGGGGGAAUGAAGGUCUUCGGAUUGUAAACCCCUGUCAUGUGGGAGCAAAUUAAAAAGAUAGUACCACAAGAGGAAGAGACGGCUAACUCUGUGCCAGCAGCCGCGGUAAUACAGAGGUCUCAAGCGUUGUUCGGAAUCACUGGGCGUAAAGCGUGCGUAGGCUGUUUCGUAGGUCGUGUGUGAAAGGCGCGGGCUCAACCCGCGGACGGCACAUGAUACUGCGAGACUAGAGUAAGGGAGGGGGAACCGGAAUUCUCGGUGUAGCAGUGAAAUGCGUAGAUAUCGAGAGGAACACUCGUGGCGAAGGCGGGUUCCUGGACAUUAACUGACGCUGAGGCACGAAGGCCAGGGGAGCGAAAGGGAUUAGAUACCCGAGUAGUC